rnacentral:rRNA from 1 species
AGUGAACGCUGGCGGUAGGCCUAACACAUGCAAGUCGAACGGCAGCACAGUAAGAGCUUGCUCUUACUGGUGGCGAGUGGCGGACGGGUGAGGAAUACAUCGGAAUCUACUUUUUCGUGGGGGAUAACGUAGGGAAACUUACGCUAAUACCGCAUACGACCUACGGGUGAAAGCAGGGGAUCUUCGGACCUUGCGCGAUUGAAUGAGCCGAUGUCGGAUUAGCUAGUUGGCGGGGUAAAGGCCCACCAAGGCGACGAUCCGUAGCUGGUCUGAGAGGCUGAUCAGCCACACUGGAACUGAGACACGGUCCAGACUCCUACGGGAGGCAGCAGUGGGGAAUAUUGGACAAUGGGCGCAAGCCUGAUCCAGCCAUACCGCGUGGGUGAAGAAGGCCUUCGGGUUGUAAAGCCCUUUUGUUGGGAAAGAAAAGCAGCAGGUUAAUACCCCGCUGUUCUGACGGUACCCAAAGAAUAAGCACCGGCUAACUUCGUG